GAUGAACGCUGGCGGCGUGCCUAACACAUGCAAGUCGAGCGAACAGACGGGGAGUUUUCUCGUCUGACGUUGGCGCCGGACGGGUGAUGCCCAUGUGUUUGACCUACCUAUCAGAAUGGGGUACCAACGGGAAACCGGAUCUACUAACCGAAAAUAUAUUGAACCUGAAUGUUCAAUCGUGAAAGACGGUUGUUCUGAGACUAAUAGAUGAAUCAGAGCCGGAUGAGUUAGUGGGUAAGGUAACGGCUUACCAACGCAACGAGGCGUAGCCGACCUGAGAGGGUGAUCCGCCACACUGGAACUGAGACACGGUCCACACUCCUACGGGAGGCCGCAGUAGGGAAUCUUCCGCGAUGGGCGAAAGCUUGAUAGAGCAACGCCGCGUGAGUGAUGAAGGUCUUCGGAUCGUAAAGCUCUGUAAGUAGGGAUGAACUAAUGUGUAUGUAACCAUGCCCGUCUUGACGGUACCUAAAGAAUAAGCCCCGGCUAACUACGUG
rnacentral:rRNA from 1 species